ensembl:lncRNA
UAUGAAUGUCCCCCUUCUCUCAGACACCCCUGUUUCUGGCAUGAACGAUGUUUGAAACUCUUGCAUUCUAGUUUUGUAUCACUAUUGACAUUAUCUCCAGGAAGCUCCUGUGACUGGGGAGAUUAAUAGCCUCACUUGCUGAAAGAAGAAAAUCUUUUUCAACUAUAAUUUAUCAGGAAAUUUGGCUAUAGCAUGUGAAAAUAGAAAGCUGAGCCAGAAGAAAGGAACUAAGGAUGAUACAUUAAGAGUGGGGUGAAGCAAAGGAGACCAAUGGUAAAGCUCCCUCCGUUGAGUCACUGUGGUAUCCUGUGCAGCAGGGGAGAAAUGGUAUGAAGAGUGGCUCUUGGGAGAUGAAUUACGUUUCCACAAAAUUCUUCCUUUGGGGUUGAACCCUCUGCAUCCCAGAAUGUUCCAUGAAUAAGUGACUGUUGAAUCCUCACCCUAAAUAAGAUAUUUAGUCUUUGUGAAUGCUUCAGAAGAGGGGCCAGAAAGAAUAGAAGUACAAAAUGAUGACAUUUAUAAAGGAAGUGAUAAGAGAAAGGAAGAAAGGAGAAAAAAAUGGAAGAGGAAGGGAGUAACUUAAAAAUUCCAAGAGACCCUCCAAACAAGAUAGACUAUUGCCAUUACUCUUGUUGAUUUCCAAAACUUGAAGAUGGAGGUAAUUACAGAGAUCCACAACUGUUCAAACUACAGAAAAAUAAUAACUAACCCUGGGUAUCCAGCCCCAAUUGGUACAUCUACACUGCAACUCCUACACCCAAGGCUCGGUGAAACAUUGUAGAAGAGGGGUGAGAUAACUGUGAGAGCCAGAGGACCAGCACACCUGCAGCAAGAUAGGAUCUUCUAAAUGUGCCAGAGAAGCUGUACUCAUAAAAUAGCACCAGAAUGGUUCCAUAAACAAGACCUGCAAAAUGACAGCAUCAGCUAAUAUGCCAAUGUGGUUGGGGAAAACUUCACAAAGCAUCACCCCUAGGUCAAGAGCUACAGUCAACCCAUGGCCACUAAGAGAAGAAUCUGUUUUUCCCAGGGGUGAACCGCUUGGUGCUUCUCAGAGGGCCUGGAACAGGUGAAGACAGCAGGUGCAACCAGAGGCCUGGGGUAGUGCCAGGUGAGACUUGAAGCUUGGCCAAAGACCACAGUGAGAAGAGAUGUGGCUUAGCCACAGAGAAGAGAAGCUGGUGAUUAUGUGGUGGGACAUUGGCAGUGAAGCUGAGAUUCGAGGAAAUGAAUGGAUUUGCCCACAUUGCACUGGAAGAGGAAGGAAGCCUGGGGCUCCCUCUUUUUACUUAAGAACCCUCAGAGUGGGAGACGAUCUGGAGGAGAGAUCCUAGUGAGGAAGGGAGCAGGAGAGGGAAGCUGAGAGAUCACAGAGAUCACGUCUCUACCGUGCCUUGGAAGCUGAUAGAGAACGGGAAGUGGGAUACUGCUAUAAACUCCCAAAUACCACCUUCUGUGACAUCCUCCAGCAAAGCGCUACAUUCUCAAAGUUACACAAUCUCUCCAAAUAGUACCCCAACUGUGGACCAAAUAGUCAAAUACCAGAGCCUACAUGGGACAUUUUUCAUUCAAAUCAUCACAAGUUUACAAGGAUUUUACUAUUUUCAAUACUCAAGAACAUCUUUAUUAUUUUCUCUUCUCGCUGAGAUCUAUACAAGUCAAGUUCUUUAUUUCCAAAUUUAAUAUUUGUCCACUUGGUUGUUUGUGUAUUUCUGUGUGUGUGUGUAUGUGCAUAUGUAUAUGUGCCUGUUCAUAGCUAGUGC